rnacentral:rRNA from 1 species
AGGACGAACGCUGGCGGCGUGCCUAAUACAUGCAAGUCGAACGGCUUUUCUAUGGAAGCUUGCUUCCACUGAGAAGAUAGUGGCGAACGGGUGAGUAACACGUGGGUAACCUGCCCAUAAGAGGGGGGAUAACAUCCGGAAACGGGUGCUAAUACCGCAUAGUUUUCUUGAUCGCAUGAUCGGGAAAGGAAAGACGGCCUUUGUGCUGUCGCUUAUGGAUGGACCCGCGGCGUAUUAGUUAGUUGGUGAGGUAACGGCUCACCAAGACGAUGAUACGUAGCCGACCUGAGAGGGUGAUCGGCCACAUUGGGACUGAGACACGGCCCAAACUCCUACGGGAGGCAGCAGUAGGGAAUCUCCCGCAAUGGACGAAAGCCUGACGGAGCAACGCCGCGUGAGUGAAAGAAGGUUUUCGGAUCGUAAAACUCUGUUGUCAGAGAAGAACAAGUUGGAGAGUAACUGCUCCAGCCUUGACGGUAUCUGACCAGAAAGCCACGGCUAACUACGUGCCAGCCGCCGC